UCGGGAUAACACCUGGAAACAGAUGCUAAUACCGGAUAACAACAGAUGAUGCCUAUCAACUGUUUAAAAGAUGGUUCUGCUAUCACUCUUGGAUGGACCUGCGGUGCAUUAGCUAGUUGGUAGGGUAACGGCCUACCAAGGCGAUGAUGCAUAGCGAGUUGAGAGACUGAUCGGCCACAUUGGGACUGAGACACGGCCCAAACUCCUACGGGAGGCAGCAG
rnacentral:rRNA from 1 species